UGCCAGCAGCCGCGGUAAGACGAAGGUGGCAAACGUUGCUCGGAAUUACUGGGCAUAAAGCGCGCGUAGGUGGCUUGGUUAGCGGGGAAUGAAAUCCCAUGGCUCACCCAUGGAACUGUUCUCCGAACUGCCAGGCUUGAGGACGGGAGGGGGAAGCGGAAUUCCUGGUGUAGCGGUGAAAUGCGUAGAUAUCAGGAGGAACGCCGGUGGCGAAAGCGGCUUCCUGGUCCGAUCCUGACACUGAGGCGCGAAAGCUAGGGGAGCAAACAGGAUUAGAUA
rnacentral:rRNA from 1 species